rnacentral:rRNA from 1 species
GACGAACGCUGGCGGCGUGCCUAACACAUGCAAGUCGAGCGAUGAAACCCUUCGGGGUGGAUUAGCGGCGGACGGGUGAGUAACACGUGGGUAACCUGCCUCAAAGAGGGGGAUAGCCUCCCGAAAGGGAGAUUAAUACCGCAUAACAUUAUUUCUUCGCAUGAAGAGAUAAUCAAAGGAGUAAUCCGCUUUGAGAUGGACCCGCGGCGCAUUAGCUAGUUGGUGAGGUAAUGGCUCACCAAGGCGACGAUGCGUAGCCGACCUGAGAGGGUGAUCGGCCACAUUGGAACUGAGAUACGGGCCAGACUCCUAAGGGAGGCAGCAGUGGGGAAUAUUGCGCAAUGGGGGAAACCCUGACGCAGCAACGCCGCGUGGGUGAAGAAGGCCUUCGGGUUGUAAAGCUCUGUCUUCUGGGACGAUAAUGACGGUACCAGAGGAGGAAGCCACGGCUAACUACGUGCCAGCCGCCGCCGUAAAAC